ensembl:miRNA aca-mir-205a aca-mir-205a
GUUCUAUUGUCCUUCAUUCCACCGGAGUCUGUCUCAUAUCUAAUCAGAUUUCAGUGGAGUGAAGCACAAGAGACA